AAGCAAUUUGCUCAUAGCCAUAGCUUUCUUGUGAAAGUAGGAUAUUAACCCAGGUGUCUUGGUGCUGGAGAACAGAACUGGCCAGAGUCCAUCCUGUCUCCCACCGGCAUCCCAUUACGAAAUGAACACAGAAAAGGCAGGUCUGCAAUGCCAACAUCUAGUAUCUAUCCCAAAGACCAGGGAGAAAGGAAGGAAAGAUUCUGGUUCUGUCCUCUUCCCCAAGGCAAGGCUGGCUGCCCUACCAACAGAGGCAAAGAGAAGAGUGUGCAAGGCUGGCUGCCCUCCCAACAGAGGCAAAGAGGAGUGUGUGUUGAAAUAUCCAUUGAAUCCCUGAGACAACUGGAUCCUGGCCCAUUGAAUCAUAAACUCAAAUCUCACAUCAUAACCCCAAAUGACCUGUUACUCACCAUGUGGCCCAGCUGUCUUCAAACUCACCAGCCUCCUGCCUUAGCCUUCUAAAUGCUUGGAUUACAGGCAUGACCCACCAUAACUGGCUUUGUUUUAGUUUCAGAGAAGAUGAAACUGAUGUGCGUCAAAAAGUAAACUACCCACAUUUUAACUGGGCACAUUCCUGUCAAUCUGAUGAGAAUCUAUUUCAUACCCUGCUUUAGCUGGUAGUCUGUCAAGGAAAUGAGCUGAACAUGUCUGUGUACAGCUUUUGUGCCAUCCCUGGAUGAGCGAGCUGUCUGCCUCUAUGUUCUCCACAAAAUGGAAUAUAGCUGUACACCCAAGCCAAGUUAUGGAGGCUGGGAAGACCUAGAAUGUGGCAUCACUAUUUGCUGAAAUUUUUAAUAUAAUGCCUCUUAGCCUGGUUUGGAGAAAACGUCACAGAGAGGCACCAUUUGUUGUGGUUUUACAUGAAAAUUUUCUGACCCUGAACCUGGUUUGAUGGAAAUCAUUUGCUGAGGUUAUUUAGAAAAUUGUUACCUCAAAAAUGACCUAGGGGUCCUUAGAAUAAUAACACACAGAAGAAUAGCCUCAUUUUUCUGUUGGGCCCAGGAAACCAUGCCGAUUACCGACCGAGCUCUCAAUGGAAAAAUGCAGUCGGCGUGAACCACGCACGAACACAGCAGAGAAAGAAGAAAACACACACCACGAGGAACCCUAAUAGGACAAUACAUUAUAAGCCUCAUGGUACAUCCACUUGGUGUGCUGGGAGAGUCAGGAUGAGGACCUGAGAAGAACAGCAGCUUGAACCUGACUUCAUUUAACAGCCCACUGCCCUCUUGCCAAGAACCCAUCACAGACCUUCCCAGAAGAGAGGGAUGAGCCUCACCUAUGAAUAAGUCCUCAGAAACUCAAAUUUGAUUCUAAUGGAUUGUUUUCUCAGAAAGACUGAGCAUGUCCCCCCACAUCUCUGUCAUUUCCCACAGUAGUAACCUCUGCAGAUGCCACAUAGAAAACAAAACAAAACAAAAAAACAUGAGGUUGGUGGGCAGAUAGGCAGGGUAUAAACAAACAGCCUUGUAACCCAGAAGCUGUGUGAUAUACAGUAAACUUCACAACACUGAAAAGAUGUCCUAUCUGUUAAAAUGGGGUAAUAACAACUACCCGAAUGUUUAGGAAUAGAACUUCAAUAAAUGAUACAUUUUAUAGUACAGCAGACCAUCCUGUAAAGGUUUCAUCCUUCACUGUGGUGAUAAAUAUCCCAAACCACAUUGAAAAGCAUUGCAUCUACAUUUAUCUACACUGUAACUGUACUGUAAAUCAUGGGGGAGGGGAGAAUCAUAAAAACACCACCUGUCACCGUGUCAUUAAAGCAAGUUGGAAGUGAUACUUACAGAAACACAGCAAGAGCACCCCCAGUCACACAGUUCAAUCUCUUAGCAAGCGUUUUCUUUCUAGCCCAGUGGUUCUCAGUUUGGAAUUUUUGGCACUGCCUAGAGAUAGUUUUGUUGUUAAAACUGAGAAAAGAGCCGGGCGUGGUGGCACACGCCUUUAAUCCCAGCACUCAGGAGGCAGAGGCAGG
rnacentral:lncRNA from 1 species